UUCGGCAUUUAUAGCGUUACUUUCAACCCGCCAUUUUGUCAAGAAAAUAAGCGGGCGAGGUGGACUUCAAAGUGUACACGUGCUGUAAAUAAGUGAAAAAGAACAAAUUGAAAUACUACAAUUUAUACACAAUGGUGGCGCAAACGAAGGUGUUUGUGGGAAGUUUACCCCAGGGGUCUAAACCAGAGGAUCUCCGAAAAUUGUUUGAACGUUUUGGAGUUGUGACAGAAUGUGAUAUCAUGAAUAGAUGCGGAUUUGUUCACAUGCAAACUGAAGACCAGGCCGCUGCCGCUAUCCGGGCACUCAAUAAUACCACAUUCAAUGGCGGCGUUAUUACUGUUGAGCGUGGAAGGAUCAAGGAGCGAGGUCAGCGCGGUGGUGGCGGCCGUGGAGGAAUGCGAGGAGGCAUGAGGGGAUCUAUGGAUCGCAGAGGUGGAGGUCCGAUGCGCGGUGGACCCGGUGGACCCCGUGAUGCUCCCUAUCCUCACAUGCGCGAUUCACGGCCGAUGGGCCCCAUGCGCGGUUCUGAUAUGCGAGGACCUCCAAUGGGCGGUGGAGGUAUGCCGAUGAGAAAUGGAAUGGGAGGCGCUCCCUACGAUCGCAGCAUGGAGAGACCUCCCAUGGGUGGCGGGUACGAUGAUCGUUACAACGGUUAUGGAGGGGAAGAUCGUCGAGGCUUCGCGCUAAUGGACGGGCGAGGCACCCGCGACCAGUACGGUGCACCGCCACCGAUGUACCCUGACGACAGACGCGGAUACGGCGCCCCAGUAGACGAUAUGGCGGCCAUGUAUCCAGAUGACAGACGGGCUCCUAUGUACCCCGACGAAAGGGACAUGAUGGACAGAAGGGCACCGAUGCGUGGUGGGCCUAUGCCAAUGUCUUCCGGCUAUGAUAGAGCACCUCCCAGAGCUGCCCCUAUGGGCAACGGAGACAUGUACAGCAGAAGGACACCACCUCCCAUGCGUGGAGCAGCUGGUGCUGGUGGUGGCUAUGACAGAGAUCCCUACGCACAACAGUACCCUCCCAUGGGACGGUAAGAGUCACCUUCAAAGCUUAUUUGGCAACCAGAGAGAACAAUCAUUCAUUUAAUUGUAAUAGCUAUUUAGGUCAUCAUAAUUCAUUUUUAUAAAAUUGUGUGUGAAAAUUGACAAUAUUUCACUAUAGAUGUAAAAUUAUUUUUUAUAAUAGACUAGUGUUUAAAUAAUAUCAUGAUCAUGUCAUUGUCGGAAGUAAUCUUUCCAAUCAAGUUUUUGUAAAUUAGUAACUAAUAUUUAGUUAAUUUAUCCUAGAAUAUAGUACAUUAUUACUCAUAUUGAGACGAUCAAAGGAAAUGUUUGUGAUUCGCUGCGUCAUCUCACUCUCUGGUUGCUAUCACGAGAAUAUUUUCAUUAAAGGCGUGUGACUCAUUCUUUUCGUUCGAAACCACCGGUGCGUCUACUAACCGUUCGACACCAUCGACAUCCAUAUUCUAAUAAUGUCAAUGAACAACAGAGAUUAAAACAGAACUAAUUUUGCAAUGCAGCUAAUAACGAAUCGGACUCGUUGCGAGCAAGGUUUGAAUCAUUUUACUAGUUGGCUCUAUAUUGUUUGCUCGCUGUCGGGCGGCAGUCUCUGACGCGCGUGGCGUGAUGUUGUAGCGGCGGCGGGGCGGCGCGCGCGCGGGACGGGCCGCGCCGCUACUAGCGGCCGCGCCGUCCCCGCGGCGCCCGUAGGUCGGCCCGCGCCGAUACCGCGCCGAUACCGCGCCGAUACCGCUCCGAUAGCGCCCAUACCGCCCGAACCGCCCGUACCGCACCGGCGGCGCACGCGUACUUUGUAUUGUUAGCGGUAAGACGGCCCUCUUUGUAAGCUUCGACAUAAGUAGUUACAUUCGUGGGAACUGUACGAUUUUAUUGAAUGAGUAAAUGAUAAAUAAAUUGACGGAAUUUCUUUUUUUAUUGUAAUUUCAUCAGAUCGUUGUUGUGACAUAUCUGAGCGAUUCGAUAGAUAUGAAUGAUUGCGUUUAAUUCAUAAGUCUCUAAUUGUAAUAGGUGAUUAAGAUGUAUUAUAUUUUACUUUUAGAUUAAAUUCCUUUUUUGGAAGCAGUAUCUUUUUUUGUCGAAUGAACCUUUUCCUACAUGAUUCAUUUGCAUGACACCACCCCACCCUUCGGCGUCCGUUCUCGCUUUCCUCCUGCGCUUAUCCUUUGGUUGCGGCUACUAUGUUUAACAUGUGAUUGACUUGCAGGAUUCCAAAGCUUGCCCAGUCAAACGGGCGUCGAGCUCGAAUUAAUAAUAAAUAUGUUGAUUCAAUAUUUCCUAUAGUUUGUAAAGUUUACACUGCUACCGUUGGAUGUUAUCGAAUUACCGGUACAUAAACCGACGCUCACGGCUGUUAGGUAAAACAGUACGGUCGGUAGCCUUCGGGCUUCAGGAAUUACCAGCUUCCAUGAUAUGAGUUAUCAAAAAUGUAUCUAACGUCGCCACGUGCGUCAACAUGAAACAGAAAGUGCGUGCGAGUCCUUUCAGACGUUAGUAGCGGCUUGAGGUCACGUACCGCGGGCGGUGCUGACGGCGAAGCAUAGCCGAUGCUAUGACCGUAGCGACCAUACGACGUACGGCGUAAACGUUAGGCGACAGCGGCAGAAGACAGGAUUGCGAAAUGUUACAAUCGAUGUGGGCUCCUGGCUGACUUGGAGAUGAUACCGCAGGUUUGGACUAAUUCGCAAGUCCUUCGGUGACGACGGCACGACCCGAUCCGAAGGAGGCUAUUGUUUGUAACAGCGCAUAUCGCAGUUGAUAAAUUUAAUAAACGGUUGUUAAUA